rnacentral:lncRNA from 1 species
GCAAAUUGAAAAUAGCUAGAAAACUGAAGUCAAGUUGAUGUCUGUUUAUACUAAGAAUGUACUCUGUAAGCUAAAUCAGUCAGUAUUGAUUUAACUUUGGUUCUUGAUGGUAGAAAUGAGUUUUCACAGCAUCACUGUGCUUGCUGUGAUUGAUGUUGACUCAGAAGAAUGAAGAAGUGAAACAAACUCUGAGUGUUCUAGCAAUGUGAUAAUCUAGUUGCUAGCCCAACUAAUCUUACUCUUCAAAAUAAUACGUUAUUUUGUAUUACUAAACUCAGAAUGUAAUUUUUAUAUUGUGCUUUCUUUCAGUAUUACUUGGUGGAAAAUUUGAAUUUGUACAAUGAGCUGAGAUACCUCAAGAACUUCACCAAAGCCCCUGGAAUUCAACUUGGGAAUGUUAACCAGAGACAUCUCCCCCAUCUAUGGUUUCACUUUCCAAAGUUUCAGUUACCCGCUCAUCAACUGGGAUUGGAAAACGAUGUCAGGUUAUGGAUGCCUAUGCCAUUCACCUCACGGCAUCUCAUCAUGUAAGUGCUGUAUCAUCUCACAUCAUCACAAGAAGAAGGGUGAGUACAGUACAACAACAUAUUUUGAAAUAGAGAGAGACCACUUUCACAUAACUAUUAUUACAGUAUAUUGUUAUAAUUGUUCUAUUUUAUUAUUAGUUACUGUUGUUAAUCUUUUACUGUGCCUAAUUUAUAAAUUAAACUUUAUCAUUGGUAUCUAUGUUUAGGGAAAAAACAUAGUAUAUAUAGGACUCAAUACUAUCUAUGGUUUCAGGCAUCCACUGGGGGUCUUGGAACAUAUCCCCUGCAGAAAAGGGGGGACUACUGUAUUUGUUGUCUUGCUUUUUUAUGUAUUUUACAUUAUAUUACCAAUAUUAAAUUAUAUACAUCAUGACCCUUUACCCCUGUAUCACUUUGCUCCUAAAUAUUUUGCUGUAUGUUUCCUAAGAUAAAGGAUAUUCUCUUUCAUAACCACAGUUCACUCAUCAACUUCAGUAAAUUUAGCAUUGAUACAAUAGUUUUAUCCAAGCAAUUGUCCUUGUUCAGUUGCCCCAAUAAUGUUCUCUAUAGAAUUUCCUCUCCCAAUUUAGGAUCCAAUCUAGGGUCAGAUAUUACAUUUAAUUGUCUUGUAUUUUUAACCUGGGACAUAUUAAUACAAGUUGUCUUUUUUUCUUUAAUCUGGAACAUUUCCACAGCCAUUCCUUGUCUUUUGUGCCAAUGACACUUUUGAAGACUAUAAUCUUCCUCUUUUUUUUAAUAUUCUUCAUUGAUGUGGUGUUUCCUCAUGACUAGAGUGAGGUUAUAUAUUCUCAACCAAAGACUUCAUAGGUGAAAUUGUGUCCUUCUCAAGGUGUCCCAUCUGGGGGCACACAGCGGGCAUCUGCUCUUCACUGGUGACAUUAAUAUUAAUCAUCCAGGGAAGGUGUUGCCUAGGAUCUCCUCUGUAUCAUUACUUUUCUUCACUUGAAACUAAUUAGCAGUUUGCAUUGAGGCACUUUAAGUCCAUUUCAAGUUUCUGGUUUUCAGCAAAACUUCUCUCUAGAUUGAUCACCCAUUAAUGAUUCUUGCCUGAUCUAGUCUUUCCUAUGGUGCUGCAAAAUGAUGAUUCAACUCCAGUGCCCCCUCCACAUUAACCAGUCAGCACUCAGUGUUUGGCCUGAAAAGCAUGAGACCUCCUUUCUCUCUCAUUUAUUUAUUUAUCUAUCUAUCUUUUAUCAGUAGAUAAACUCAUUAGCUCAUUUUUCAGUGGUUUGUAGUUCAUUACUGUACUUAGUAUGUUGGUGCUCAAAUUAACCCCAAUUUGAUUUGGCAAUUGAAGGCCUAUUCAAUUUGCUUCCUUGUCCUUGUUGCAAGCCCCCAUCACCUUUUUUUUUAAAACACUUCUUCACUUUCAGACAUAAUAAUACAUUCCCGAGUCAUCUUGUAUUAUAAAGAAUCUAGCUCCUCGUGGGUGAUUAGUGAAUAUUAUAUUGUAUCUUUGGAUCCUCAGCCUACUUGAUGUUGCAAAUCUUUGUGCACAUAAAUUUGAUAUUAAUUUUAAAGUAUUUAGCUCAGCAUAUCUCCAUGAAGUAAAGCCUUGGUUCCUUUUAGUCGAAAUGGUAUUAGAGGCCAAAUUUUGGGAUUAGGUACGCUUAUGGUUACUGAGGUGUCUUUGCUUCUUGGCCCUUUCAGUACACAAAGCUGGGAAGUAUAUACAUAUAUACUUACACAUAUGUACACACAUAUAUACAAACAUAUAGAUGUAUAUGCGUAUACAGGUGCACAAGCACAUGCACAUACACAUCCCAAUGUAUUUUAAAAAAUUAAGAGUUGGGGCCAGUCUGGCGGCGUAGUGGUUAAGUUCGCAUGUUCUGCUUCGGCGGCCCUGGGGUUCACUGGUUUGGAUCCCGGGUGCAGACCUACACACUGCUUGUCAAGCCAUGUUGUGGAAGGAGUCCCACAUAUAAAGUAGAGGAAGAUGGGUACAGAUGUUAGCUCAGGGCCAGUCUUCCUCAGCAAAAAGAGGAGGAUUGGUGGCAGAUGUUAGCUGGGGGCUAAUCUUCCUCAAAAAAAUAAAAAAAAAAUUGAGUCUACA